rnacentral:lncRNA from 1 species
CUUUAAUCAGCGGACUGGGAUUUACGUUACCUCGCCAACUCAAGUCAGUCACCCGGACUGCAGCUGAGGCUGGACGAGAAGAUCUGCCAGGAUUCCACUUCAGGUCCUUUCUCAUAUGCUUUUCUUCCAGCAGUGCUGCUGUUCUGCCCCUUCUGCUUUCCAUCCCUCUGCUAUAGGGACUUUCAUUUACUAGUCAUUCAUCUCCAUUUAUCUUCAAUGAUGCAUUUGCCCACAGUGCAAUUUCUU